AUAAUAACUUUGGCAGCACAUUACAUACACUAAAAUUGGAAUGGUACAAAGAAUAUUAGCAUGGCCCUUGUGCAAGGAUGACAUGGAGAAAGAAACAAAGAUACAUGCCACU